ACUUAAAUAAUUUAAAUAAAAAUAUUGAUUUGUGGAGUCAAAUAUAUGAUAAACUCAUUUUAAGUU
rnacentral:tRNA from 1 species